rnacentral:rRNA from 1 species
AGUGAACGCUGGCGGUAGGCCUAACACAUGCCAGUCGAACGGCAGCACAGUAAGAGCUUGCUCUUACGGGUGGCGAGUGGCGGACGGGUGAGGAAUACAUCGGAAUCUACUUUUUCGUGGGGGAUAACGUAGGGAAACUUACGCUAAUACCGCAUACGACCUACGGGUGAAAGCAGGGGCUCUUCGGACCUUGCGCGAUUGAAUGAGCCGAUGUCGGAUUAGCUAGUUGGCGGGGUAAAGGCCCACCAAGGCGACGAUCCGUAGCUGGUCUGAGAGGAUGAUCAGCCACACUGGAACUGAGACACGGUCCAGACUCCUACGGGAGGCAGCAGUGGGGAAUAUUGGACAAUGGGCGCAAGCCUGAUCCAGCCAUACCGCGUGGGUGAAGAAGGCCUUCGGGUUGUAAAGCCCUUUUGUUGGGAAAGAAAAGCAGCAGGUUAAUACCCCGCUGUUCUGACGGUACCCAAAGAAUAAGCACCGGCUAACUUCGUG